AGUGAACGCUGGCGGCGUGCUUAACACAUGCAAGUCGAACGAGAAACGGAUUUAGCUUGCUGAAUUGCAGUCUAAGUGGCGCACGGGUGAGUAAUGUAUAGGUAAUAUACCUCUUACUAAGGGAUAACAAUUGGAAACGAUUGCUAAUACCUUAUAUGCCUUUAAGACUAAAGUCUGCAAGGGAAAGAUUUAUUGGUAAGAGAUUAGCCUGUAUUGUAUCAGCUAGUUGGUGAGGUAAUGGCUCACCAAGGCUAUGACGCAUAACUGGUUUGAGAGGGUGAUCAGUCACACUGGAACUGAGACACGGUCCAGACUCCUACGGGAGGCAGCAGUGGGGAAUAUUGCACAAUGGACGAAAGUCUGAUGCAGCAACGCCGCGUGGAGGAUGACACAUUUCGGUGCGUAAACUCCUUUUAUAUAGGAAGAUAAUGACGGUACUAUAUGAAUAAGCACCGGCUAACUCCGUGCCAGCAGCCGCCGUAA
rnacentral:rRNA from 1 species